UGUCAGAAGUGGAUUCGAACCCACGCCCACAUUCGUGGACCAGAACUCAGAGCUCUGCAUCAGAGCAAGGUAAAUCCUUGAGUCUGGCGCCUUAGACCGCUCGGCCAUCCUGAC
rnacentral:tRNA from 1 species